rnacentral:lncRNA from 1 species
CCCGCUCAAAACAAAACUACAACUAGACUACCAGAAGAGGAACUUAACGGGCAAUAAGACCUACUAAUAGGAAGAAAAGGUGCUAUCAAAAUAGGUUCCGAAUCGAGCAAUAAGUGAAGGAGCUUGACCAAUCCCAAUGAGGGAAGUAGCUGAAAGAGAAGCGGAAAGGGACAUCUUGAACUCAGGGGGAAGGGACCUUAACGACAACCAAAGAAGUGCGUGCAUUUCCCGAUCAAAGAAGCCCUUGAACUCACCUUCAUUCAACAAAGAAACUUCACGCAUGAACUCUCCUCGGGAUUGGACUCUUUCUGAAAGCCCUUUUGCCAGUGUAGCGCAUUGAAGUGGGGAAUGAAAAAGACAGAGUGGCCGCAGGAAAGGAACUGGCUUCAUACUAUAUAAGUA